rnacentral:rRNA from 1 species
UACGGGGGGGGCAAGCGUUGUUCGGAAUUACUGGGCGUAAAGGGCUUGUAGGUGGCCAACUAAGUCAGACGUGAAAUCCCUCAGCUUAACUGGGGAACUGCGUCUGAUACUGGAUGGCUUGAGUUUGGGAGAGGGAUGCGGAAUUCCAGGUGUAGCGGUGAAAUGCGUAGAUAUCUGGAGGAACACCGGUGGCGAAGGCGGCAUCCUGGACCAUUACUGACACUGAAAAGCGAAAGCCAGGGGAGCAAACGGG